GAUGAACGCUGGCGGCGUGCCUAAUACAUGCAAGUCGAGCGAACGGACGAGAAGCUUGCUUCUCUGAUGUUAGCGGCGGACGGGUGAGUAACACGUGGAUAACCUACCUAUAAGACUGGGAUAACUUCGGGAAACCGGAGCUAAUACCGGAUAAUAUUUUGAACCGCAUGGUUCAAACGUGAAAGACGGUCUUGCUGUCACUUAUAGAUGGAUCCGCGCUGCAUUAGCUAGUUGGUAAGGUAACGGCUUACCAAGGCAACGAUGCAUAGCCGACAUGAGAGGGUGAUCGGCCACACUGGAACUGAGACACGGUCCAGACUCCUACGGGAGGCAACAGUAGGGAAUCUUCCGCAAUGGGCGAGAGCCUGACGGAGCAACGCCGCGUGAGUGAUGAAGGUCUUCGGAUCGUAAAACUCUGUUAUUAGGGAAGAACAUAUGUGUAAGUAACUGUGCACAUCUUGACGGUACCUAAUCAGAAAGCCACGGCUAACUACGUG
rnacentral:rRNA from 1 species